rnacentral:rRNA from 1 species
ACGGCGGCCGUAACUAUAACGUGCAUAAGGUAGCGCAAGUCCGUGUCGAGUAAGUUCCGACCUGCACGAAUGGCGUAAUGAUGGCCAGGCUGUCUCCACCCGAGACUCAGUGAAAUUGAACUCGCUGUGAAGAUGCAGUGUACCCGCGGCAAGACGGAAAGACCCCGUGAACCUUUACUAUAGCUUGACACUGAACAUUGAGCCUUGAUGUGUAGGAUAGGUGGGAGGCUUUGAAGCGUGGACGCCAGUCUGCGUGGAGCCAACCUUGAAAUACCACCCUUUAAUGUUUGAUGUUCUAACGUAGACCCGUGAUCCGGGUUGCGGACAGUGUCUGGUGGGUAGUUUGACUGGGGCGGUCUCCUCCCAAAGAGUAACGGAGGAGCACGAAGGUUAGCUAAUCCUGGUCGGACAUCAGGAGGUUAGUGCAAUGGCAUAAGCUAGCUUGACUGCGAGCGUGACGGCGCGAGCAGGUGCGAAAGCAGGUCAUAGUGAUCCGGUGGUUCUGAAUGGAAGGGCCAUCGCUCAACGGAUAAAAGGUACUCCGGGGAUAACAGGCUGAUACCGCCCAAGAGUUCAUAUCGACGGCGGUGUUUGGCACCUCGAUGUCGGCUCAUCACAUCCUGGGGCUGAAGUAGGUCCCAAGGGUAUGGCUGUUCGCCAUUUAAAGUGGUACGCGAGCUGGGUUUAGAACGUCGUGAGACAGUUCGGUCCCUAUCUGCCGUGGGCGCUGGAGAAUUGAGGGGGGCUGCUCCUAGUACGAGAGGACCGGAGUGGACGCAUCACUGGUGUUCGGGUUGUCAUGCCAAUGGCAUUGCCCGGUAGCUAAAUGCGGAAAAGAUAAGUGCUGAAAGCAUCUAAGCACGAAACUUGCCCCGAGAUGAGUUCUCCCUGACUCCUUGAGAGUCCUGAAGGAACGUUGAAGACGACGACGUUGAUAGGUCGGGUGUGUAAGCGUAGCGAUACGUUGAGCUAACCGAUACUAAUGAACCGUGAGGCUUAACCUU